AUUGAACGCUGGCGGCAUGCUUUACACAUGCAAGUCGAACGGCAGCACGGGGGCAACCCUGGUGGCGAGUGGCGAACGGGUGAGUAAUGCAUCGGAACGUGCCCAGUAGUGGGGGAUAACGCGUCGAAAGAUGUGCUAAUACCGCAUACGCACUACGGUGGAAAGCGGGGGACCGCAAGGCCUCGCGCUAUUGGAGCGGCCGAUGUCCGAUUAGCUAGUUGGUGGGGUAAUGGCCUACCAAGGCGACGAUCGGUAGCUGGUCUGAGAGGAUGAUCAGCCACACUGGGACUGAGACACGGCCCAGACUCCUACGGGAGGCAGCAGUGGGAAAUUUUGGACAAUGGGCGCAAGCCUGAUCCAGCCAUGCCGCGUGAGUGAAGAAGGCCUUCGGGUUGUAAAGCUCUUUCGGCCGGAACGAAAUCGUCCGGGCUAAUACCCCGGAUGGAUGACGGUACCGGAAGAAGAAGCACCGGCUAACUACGUGC
rnacentral:rRNA from 1 species